UUUCUUUUUGCUCAAAUACGUUAGCUGCCUCAACUAGGUCUUUGUGAAUAUCAUUAUUUUCCCAUUCAGAGAGGCAUUGCGAUAAAUUUUCAAAUAUAUCCGUCAUUUGCUUGCUUUUCAAAACAUGAAAUUUUCUGUGACGUCAUUCCGUGCGUAUCUCCUGUUAUAUAUCAUGGCUCUCGCCAAUGAAAUUGCUCAAAUUCUUCUGGUUAUUAUCUAAUUAUAUAUAGUCAAUGGCGCGGUAUAUUUAUAGUCUUUGUUAAUGUGAAUUGUGAAAUUGGGAGUUGAGAGAAUUUGCUUUGAAUUGUAUUCAGAGCUGCAAAAUUUCGACAAUGACUUCAAGAAAGCGUUGCUACAAUGGAUUAAAACAUGCAAAACAACAUUUGAUAUUAUUUUUCAUUUUAUCCGGCGUACUUUGUGGAUUUUUACUCGGUGCUUUAUUACAUUGCAAUGUUCAGUCGUCCAUAGAUCCAACACCGAAGGAAUAUGCAAUGUACGUGUCGUUUCUUGGUGAGAUUUGGGUGAGAGCUUUAAGACUUUUGGUUCUUCCUUUGAUUGUAUCCAGCCUGCUUUUGGCAGUCGCUGAAUUGGAGUCAAAACAGAGCAGAAAAUUGAGAAGAAGAACAUUGCUGUAUUGUCUUAUGACUACAAUGUUUGGGGAGUAAUUUGUUUAUUUGCAUUUAACCAGAAAAUGUUAACGUGAAAGAACCAGAACCGUACGAAGAAAAAGUUGAACCAAUACAUUCUGUGCUUGACCUUAUAAGACAAAUCCCAUUUCACCACCUACCUAUGUUGUCAUGACAACAACAAUGAAUCGAGAAGAAGGUUUGAAAGCUUUGGAAACAUCUAUCAAAGCCAUUGAAGAAGUCAUUAUGAACAAGAAAGGAACAUUUGUUUUACAACAAGCUAUGGGAUACUAGGUCCCAUGGUAAUUAUCGGAAUUAGCGGGAAAAACUACGUCAGAGGUCUGGUACCGACACGGAGACGCGUUCUUGUCAUUUCUUUCUGGAUAGUACGCCGUCCAUAGAAGCUCCUCAGUUCGUAGAUACAUAAAAAUUGUCAAAUACCAGCUGUUAUCCUUCUGUAAAAAAUGCCUCCUUGUUUAUCAAAAUCAAUAAUGAGAGACGUCUACACCAUUUAUCCACAAAAGAAUAAUGUUGUACCACAAUACAACCAAACGAUCAUUUCUAUGCUCGAAAAAAGACCUGAGUGAAGUCCUUUCGCUAGAACUGAUAUGUACGAUAUUGUGAGCUUGCUUUACAUGUCGAAUGAGUUGGUUAAAAAGAGAUCAUGAAAAGUGAAGGAGAAAAUGCACUCUCGGUUAUUCUGUCUCAUCUUGAUGAUCAAUCAAUGACAGUUUGGAACCUACAUUAAGCAAUUUUUUAAGUGUACUAUAUUUACGAAUGACGCCUUUCCUCUUUUUCCGUACAAUGAAAACUACCUAAACGGUUGGUUUACGCAGAAUUUUUCACAUUUUAAUGAUGCAGGGAACAGAAUUAAUCAAGAAGUAGAGAUUUUUAAUGCAAGUAACGAAGAUGAAGCAAUUAGAUGCAUUAAGGAGAUUGAAAAAUUAAAGAAAAACGAAGACAAAAAUACUGAGUUAUAUUUCCAUGGCACUGUUCAUUCGUCUGCUCAGAAUAUUCUUGAGAAUGGCAUUAAAUUAGGUAAAGGUGGUGAAAAGUGUGACUUGUCACAUAAGUAUGGUUUCUACAUGGCAAAUGAUUAUGAAUACUCAUUAACACAAUAUUCUAAUAUAACAGAAGCAGCCCUUCUCAUUUUUUGUUUACGCCCAAAUAAUUUGAAAGGUUUCCAAGAAUUGUACUUAUGUGGUAAGAGCAAUCAACAAGACUUUGGUACAGUUAGUUAAUACUUUAGGGCUGGAAGGAUAGACUGUAAAGGUUCCAUGAGCAGGGAACUAUUUUCAGAAUUGAAGAAGUGCGAUUAUAUCAAAAGUCCAAUUUCUAGUGAUGGUUGUUCAGCAGGUGACCAAAAGGAAAGAUAUUCUGCAGGUUUGUGUAAAGAAACACAAAAUGGCUGAGACAAUGAGCGGUUCUCCAUCAUUGGUGUGUGCAGUCUUUAUAAAGCCUGAUUCUGAAGAGAACGAUUUGUUGUUGGGUUUUGAUUCAUUUGUAUAUUGAAAACAUUUUGAAUCUGAUGCUUAGCAAUGGCACGUUCAUGUGUAUUUAACUUCUUCAACUGGGAGGCAACAAGCAUUCCACAUAAAUCGUUUUCAUCUUUUUCCACAUUUUUUUUGUUUUGAUGCUUAAAUGCUUUCUGCAUUGUACGAAGAAACUGUAUUUCUUCUUGCUCAACAUCAACUUUUGUCUUUGACCACUUUUUAUGUCCAGUUGUAUCAGAUAUAUCAGUAAUUUUAUCAUCAAAUACUUCAUCUGGCUCUAUUCGUUGACAGCCAUUGUCUUCAUCUAGUAAGCUGACUUGCUCAAUUUCAUCAUUGGUUAACAAACUACAAUUACUUGUCUAGCUGCUGCUGGUAGUUCAUACUGACAAAUUAGUUUUUGUUGCUCCAGACUUUAUGUAUGGUACUAACCACUGUAGAAAAUUAUAGUCCUUCAAUUUUGUUUUAGAGGAAACAACAGCUGA